AGGCUUCCCACCUGACCUCCUACACGACCUGUUUGAAGGUGUCGUUCCAGUGGAGUUGGCACAUUGUUUAAAAGUGUCUGACUAAAGAAACAGAACUGAGACAUCAGCUGAUUCCACCAAUUUGUGAACCAAUGUAAAGAAAUAAAAAAUUCAGAUGGAGGCAACAGGAAUAUUGAAGCUAAGGGUCAUCCUUGAUAAGGAUAACGCUGAAAAACUUAUUUUGCCAUCUCGUCCAAACAGUGUGCAAGCCCUCAUAGAUGAGAUCAAAUCUAGGCUAAAUUUUACCUUUGACUUUCGGCUUCAGUUUCAUGACCCAGAUUUUGAUAAUGCCUUGUGUAAUUUGGUUAAAAUAGAAGACCUGCCAGCUAUAGCAUCUGUUAAAGUUGUCAGGUUAGUUGAGCUGGACCGGAUUUCAAC